AACGUAGGAGACAAACGUUAUCCGGAGUUACUGGGCGGAAAGGGCGUGUAGGUGGUUUCGUAAGUCUGGCGUGAAAUAUCUCGGCUUAACCGAGGCAGGUCGUCGGAUACUGCGGAACUGGAGGACGGUAGAGGCGUGUGGAAUUCCGGGUGUAGUGGUGAAAUGCGUAGAGAUCCGGAGGAACACCAGUGGCGAAGGCGACACGCUGGGCCGUACCUGACACUGAUGCGCGACAGCAUGGGGAGCAAACAGG
rnacentral:rRNA from 1 species